rnacentral:rRNA from 1 species
CAGUAGCCGCGGGAAAACGUAGGGUGCAAGCGUUAAUCGGAAUUACUGGGCGUAAAGCGUGCGCAGGCGGUUAUAUAAGACAGAUGUGAAAUCCCCGGGCUCAACCUGGGAACUGCAUUUGUGACUGUAUAGCUAGAGUACGGCAGAGGGGGAUGGAAUUCCGCGUGUAGCAGUGAAAUGCGUAGAUAUGCGGAGGAACACCGAUGGCGAAGGCAAUCCCCUGGGCCUGUACUGACGCUCAUGCACGAAAGCGUGGGGAGCAAACAGGAUUAGAUACCCCCGUAGUCCCUGUCUCUUAUAA